rnacentral:rRNA from 1 species
UACGCUGGCGGCGUGCCUAACACAUGCAAGUCGAACGAGGUAGCAAUACCUAGUGGCAGACGGGUGAGUAACGCGUGGUCAACCUACCUUCGAGUGGGGGAUAACUAGCCGAAAGGCUAGCUAAUACCGCAUAAAACCGGAUCCGGCAUCGGAAUCGGUUGAAAGCAGCAAUGCUCUCGGAGACGGGACCGCGUCCGAUUAGUUAGUUGGUGGGGUAACGGCCUACCAAGACUCCGAUCGGUAGCUGGUUUGAGAGAACGACCAGCCACACUGGGACUGAGAACGGCCCAGACUCCUACGGGAGGCAGCAGUGAGGAAUUUUCCGCAAUGGGCGAAAGCCUGACGGAGCGACGCCGCGUGUGGGAAGAAGGCCUUCGGGUCGUAAACCACUGUCGAAGGGGAAGAUAUUGACGGUACCCUUGGAGGAAGCCCCGGCUAACUACGUGCCAGCAGCCGCGGUAAGACGUAGGGGGCAAGCGUUAUUCGGAAUCAUUGGGCGUAAAGCGCUCGUAGGCGGGACAGGAAGUCCGUGAAGAAAGACCUGNGCUCAACUCAGGGACCGGCACGGAUACUCUUGUUCUUGAGGCAAUCAGAGGGUGAUGGAAUUCCCGGUGUAGCGGUGAAAUGCGU